rnacentral:rRNA from 1 species
UAGGGAAUCUUCCGCAAUGGGCGAAAGCCUGACGGAGCAACGCCGCGUGAGUGAUGAAGGUCUUCGGAUCGUAAAACUCUGUUAUUAGGGAAGAACAAAUGUGUAAGUAACUAUGCACGUCUUGACGGUACCUAAUCAGAAAGCCACGGCUAACUACGUGCCAGCAGCCGCGGUAAUACGUAGGUGGCAAGCGUUAUCCGGAAUUAUUGGGCGUAAAGCGCGCGUAGGCGGUUUUUUAAGUCUGAUGUGAAAGCCCACGGCUCAACCGUGGAGGGUCAUUGGAAACUGGAAAACUUGAGUGCAGAAGAGGAAAGUGGAAUUCCAUGUGUAGCGGUGAAAUGCGCAGAGAUAUGGAGGAACACCAGUGGCUAAGGCGACUUUCUGGUCUGUAACUGACGCUGAUGUGCGAAAGCGUGGGGAUCAAACAGG